CUACACGACUGCACUUCAGUUCACGCAUCUGUUCGCACCAAGACCUUCCGUUUCUAUUACCUGAAAAAGAAACAAUUGAAAGCAUGAAGCUUAAGCUCGACCAUUAAGCCACAGGGAAGUUCUUCGAAUAUAUCAACUCUAUUCUUAGCUUUCUAUGAGAAAUUACGAUUCUGCGAGAAGGAAGCCUCAAUGCCCAGGAGCAUUCGAUUUUGAUAAUAUUGCGAAUUACAGUGAAUUUCUGUUGUGAUUUUCACUUGAAUACUGCGUUAUCGGAAUUUCGGAGCAAUUAUGGCCAUGAUCAAAUGCUUAAUUGCUUAGAGAGCUUGCAAUACUGAUGGCUAAAGCGGAUACAAGUGAAGAUCGAGAGAAGAUGGGGACUCAGAGUAGAGGGAAUUGGAGUUGGUUUUUCUGGGCGAUAAUGGUAGUGCACUGUGUGGCAAUACUAAUAUUUACGCGCGGGUUUUUGUUGACUCGAACGGAGCUUCCCUACCACAGUAAUUGCUCUGAUAUCCGCAGUUCCCCCUGCCUAUUCGAUUCUGAUACAAAUCUCAACAAUAACAACAAUAACCAGAGCCGGAGCGAUCAGUUUUGUUGGACCAGACCUGCAGUGAAUCGCCUUGUCAUCAUCGUCCUUGAUGCGCUCAGGUUUGAUUUUGUUGCUCCCAGCACGUUUUUUGAAGAACCGAAACCAUGGAUGGACAAAUUACUAGUGUUACAAAGGCUGGCAUCUGAACGAAAUUCAUCCGCUAGGAUUUUCAGGGCCAUUGCAGAUCCACCAACAACCAGUUUACAGCGUUUGAAGGGUUUGACAACUGGUGGAUUGCCUACUUUUAUUGAUGUUGGGAAUAGCUUUGGAGCUCCAGCAAUUGUUGAGGACAACUUGAUACAUCAAUUGGUUCUUAAUGGAAAGAAGGUAGUGAUGAUGGGGGACGAUACCUGGAUUCAGUUGUUUCCUCGUCAUUUUGCAAAGUCUUAUCCCUUUCCAUCAUUUAAUGUUAAGGAUCUUCAUACGGUAGACAAUGGAUGCAUCGAUCACCUUCUUCCUGCCUUGUAUGAAGAAGAUUGGGAUGUUCUCAUUGCACAUUUUCUUGGCGUGGAUCACGCCGGUCAUAUUUUUGGUGUCGAUUCAAUGCCAAUGAUAGAGAAGUUGAAGCAGUACAAUUCAAUUUUAGAGAGAGUGAUUGGUGUGUUGGAGAGCCAGUCUGGACCUGGCGGCUUACAUGAGAAUACUUUUUUUCUUGUGAUGGGUGAUCAUGGUCAAACCUUAAAUGGUGAUCAUGGUGGUGGGGGUGCUGAAGAGGUUGAAACAUCAAUUUUUGCCAUGAGCUUUAAGAAGCCACCAGCACCCACACCAUCUGAAUUUGAUUCUUCAUUUUGUCAACUAGAUUUGGACCAGAAGAACAUGUGCAUCGGCUCUGUCCAACAGCUUGAUUUUGCGGUGACAGUUUCAGCACUCCUUGGUGUCUCCUUUCCUUUUGGAAGCAUUGGGCUUGUUAAUCCAGAGCUAUAUGCUUUAGCUGGUGGUACAUGGGAUCUGAAGGGACCUACAAGUAACUGCCAAAAACAGUCAAAACUGGGGGAAUGGAUGGGCAAUUAUGUCAAUGUCCUAUGCAUAAAUUCUUGGCAGGUGAAAAGGUAUAUUGACAUCUACUCAGCUUCAUCAGUCAUUGGAUUUUCUUCUGAAGACUUGUCGCAAGUGUCAAAUCUGUAUGCUCAAGCAGAGGAGGAUUGGUCAUCUACUAAGAGAUUGUUAUUACCUGAACAUGAAAGCUGCAAUGCAUCUAGUACUACUUUUAAAAGACAAAUUGAUGCUUAUUUUAGCUUCUUGUCAAGUGUUGCUGAGCUGGCACGCUCCAAAUGGACCGAGUUUAACUUAGGGAUGAUGGCUGUUGGAUUUGGGAUUAUGCUAAUCUCCCUGUUCAUGCAUUUCUUUGCAAUUAAGAUGGUCAGCAAGUCCAGUGGCCUUUGUCUUCCCUCAUCUGUGGAUUCUGACUUUCCCACUUUAUUCAUUUUCACUUUAUUUAUGGUGAUGAUUCGUGCCUUGAGCUUCCUUUCGAAUAGCUAUAUCUUGGAAGAAGGUAAAGUAGCAAAUUUUCUUUUGGCUACAACUGGCAUUGUCAGGCUACGAUAUUCAAUCAGAGAAAACAAGAGGCUAAUUGAAGCAGUUGCCUUUCUUCUGUUGAUUUCCAUUCUCAGAUUUGCUAUUGAAGUUGGGUUAUCAAAGCAAGCUGCCACUUCUGCGUUUAUGAAUGCAAAUCCUUCAUGGUCAAUUGGGUUUUCCAUUAGCUAUCAUUUAUCGACUUGCAUAGCUGAAAUAGUGUCUAUACUAGCAUUAAUAGUAUUAGCAUGCAUGCAAUACAAGACUGUUGCUGACAGGGUUUGCUGCGGAGUGUACAAAUAUGUUAUUGUGGCAACUAUCUUUAGUUACAUGCUAAUAGCAGUGCAUUGGGCAUUGGAAAGUAACUUAGUUGAUUUUGUUCUGCUCCUUCAAGGAGUCAGAAGAAAUUUUAUUCCAAGAAUAAUAUAUGCUAUUGGAUUUGGGCAACUACUCUUACUGGUGUUGGGCCAGCUCUUGGAAAAAGAGACGACUUUAAAUUGUGCAAGGAGCUUAUUUAUUAAAACAGUGGCGAUGCUUUCAGCCUGCAGUUCCACAGUCAUUAUUCUGUCAGGAACACAAGGUCCCUUGAUUGCUUUGGCAUGCAUAAUUGGAGGUCAUUCCAUAGCAAGGUUGCAAAGUGUAGAACAUAAUAUGAAGGACAAAACACCUGGAAUUUCAACUAGCAAUCCCUUAAGUGUGAUCCAGUGGAGCCUUUUAGCUGUUUGUCUGUUUUUCUCAAGUGGUCACUGGUGUGCAUUUGAUGGCCUGCGAUAUGGUGCUGCAUUUAUAGGGUUUGAUGAAUUUGUCCUUAUUCGCCAAGCAAUCCUUCUUACAAUAGAUACUUUUGGAUUUUCUCACAUCCUUCCAGUAUUUGGACUUGCAUAUCUUGUUUCUUGCCAAGAUUUGUCGGGUCAUCAGACUGACCAGGAAAAAUUUCUCAUCUUCAUGAAAUUAACUCAAAUGUAUAUGAUAUAUGGACUCAUAACUGCCACUGCAGUCACAGCCACUGUUUUAUGUGUUACCCUUCAAAGACGACACUUAAUGGUAUGGGGAUUAUUUGCUCCGAAGUUUGUUUUUGAUGUGGUGGGUCUUAUCCUUACGGACAUUCUAAUCUGCUUGGCAUCAACCUACUAUUUCAGUCAAGUGAAGAACCGUGAUGUACCUCAAAAUCAGAUUACUGAAAAGUGAAUGCUUAAUAGGAGAAUUCUCCUUUUUUUUUGACUAAAGAAGGGGUGACAACAGAUUAAAUUUUGCUAGGGAAAAGAAAAACUACAGAUUUGUUACUGAAUGCAGUUCCAAGUUUGGCUUUAUAGUUGGUUCUGUGCCAUUGUUGGGGUCUCUACAGGAAAGGAUUUCUUUUUUUAUAUUAAAGGAUAUGAUGUGAAUCUUUACAAUGUAAGCAGUAGUGCCACCAGUGUUUCCUACAGAGAUUUGAUUUUCUAUAAUUUAUGUGGUGCGGACUGUUUUGGCGGUCCAAAGUUUACGAAUAUUCAACUGUUUGAAGGGUACGUGUUGCUUUAGAGGUUCGAGGGUUACGCCUGCCCAUUUAGCUAUUUGAAAGGUAUGUACGUAUGUGUUGUUUUAGCACUCCAAGGUUUAUAUCCAUUGAGGUAUCUCAAAAGUAUGCAGGGUAUGAGUUGUUUUAGCAAUUCAAGAUUUACGUUCAUUCAGCUAUGUAGAAGAUAUUCUAGACUGGAUGGUUUCUCGAUUAGCAAAAGUAAAAGAUUUCUCUA